GUUGAUUUCUUGGAUAUACGAAUUGGGAUGGAAAGUGGAGAGGUGCAGUCUGAGCAUUUUCUGAAGGGAUGCCUAUGUACUGUUGUUCGUGCCAGCAACGUCACGGGAGCCGUGGUCAUACAAGACAGCCGCGUUUGGAUUCCUAUUACAAAGGUUGAGUGCCCACUGUACAGCGUACCGGGGCCAGAUGAAGGAGCUACAAUGGAUUCUGGAUCAAGCUGUGAAGCAUGGAUAUGGUAAGAACCUGAUUCUAAACAUGUGGAGCAGGCUGGCCAAGAGAGGCGCAAAGAAGAAUGGUCCAG
rnacentral:lncRNA from 1 species